rnacentral:tRNA from 1 species
CGGGGCGUAGCUCAGUUUGGCUAGAGCGCUUGGUUUGGGACCACGAAGUCGACAGUUCGAGUCUGUCCGCCCCGA